AGGCGUUUAUCGAGAGUAAGACUCUGUUUGAUCUCGAGGUGGGCCAGCUGGUCGGCGAACGGAAACAAUGGCGAUGUUAUGUCGAGGAUCUGGGACCUUGAUAUAUGCCAACGGAAGAGUCCUCGGCAUUCCUUUCUCCUAUGGCUAUCUUGGGAUAUAUGGGUGAACUUGUUCCUCUGAAUCCAUCUCUUCACAUUCCAUGCCACAUGAUUGAUGCAUGGUCGUCGUGUAACUAAGAAAAAUGGCACUUUGCAACUCAUCAACUUGAUCAUAAUCUUAAACCGCUUCUUUUUCAAUACAAGCAACGGUGCCCUAUGCCUAUAGACAGCGGUAGUGAAGUCUGAAGGGUUCAAGCAUUUGAAACAGAGUUGUCCCUCUUUGUUGUCUGAGUGCAGAAGCGGAUAAGAGCUGGACGAUCAGACAAGAAAAGAGGAAGUGUGAUACAUACAGGCACUAGAAAUGUGAAGGCAAGCGAAGAGGAUGUGGAUUCAAAUGAACUUGCAAUUAACCAUUCAUUCCUCUAAGCCUUGUUUUGGCCGCUUCAAAUGAACUUCUGAUGCUUCAUUACUGAUAUGAUAAGGGAUAAAUUUGUACACAUAGUAUGUCUCAAAAGUAGCCUAAAAGCUUUGUAGGCAAUGAUGAAACUCUCUGUUCAUGGAGUUUUGGAGUCGGCUCAAAAGUUGGGAUGAAAUUCCCUUUGAUAUGUAUGUAAGUGAUAUGACUCAUCAUGGCUGUGUUUAUGAAUGAAAUUUUUUUGGGACCUGUGACAAGCAACUGAAGCAAGAAAUGCACUG